rnacentral:rRNA from 1 species
CACGUAGGUGGGAGAGCAAGUCGGGUGUGAAAGCCCUCGGCCCAACCGAGGAAUUGCGCCCGAAACUGCUUUUCUUGAGGAUAGGAGGGGAGCGUGGAAUUCCUGGUGGAGCGGUGAAAUGCGUUGAUAUCAGGAGGAACACCGGCGGCGAAGGCGACGCUCUGGCCUAUUUCUGACGCUAAGGUGCGAAAGCCAGGGGAGCAAACG